GAGAUCCCAGCUACUAGAGGACGCCCGUUCCAAUGGCAACUCUGCCAAGGCGCCUAUGAGAGCCUCUUGGCUUUUACCUGGUCUGCGAGAAAUCAAACUUUGGGCACAAGUCAUGAAGCCGACAAGCCCGGGAGACACAGUGUCAGAAUUACAAGGUGAGAUCAGCCGCCCGGCCAAGCUAUCUUCUCGCUAGCAGUUCGUUUUCAUAGAAUUCUUCAUACCUGUUUCUAUGAGGAAUGAACUGGAUGUGUUUGAAGACAAGCUGAAGAGCUACGUUACCUCUGUGAACAAAGUGGGGAUGCUGGCUCCAUUAACCCUGCAGGUGAAAAAGCUGAUCAACCCCAGGUCAUAUUUUGUAAACAUGUUUAAGGCUAAAUUAAAAUUUGAACAUGCUCUAAGAA
rnacentral:lncRNA from 1 species